rnacentral:lncRNA from 13 species
CUUUCGUAGCAAAGAAAUUAACUGAGGUGCUCUUUAAAAAUAGGUCUGGCUUGUUUACAGAAUUGUUACUUAUGCAGUAAAGCAGAUCUACAGAUGUUUUCUUUUUUUCUUCUAGAUAAAACUUGGAUUGUUUGAAAAGUGGGGAGAUAUUUCACCACAGUACAAAAGGAGAUACAGAAGAGGAGAGCAGAAUGAGAGCUUUGCAAGUGCCACAUGCCUGCAGCCUGCUGUCUUUAGUGAUGCUGCUCCUUCCAGUCACUGGAACGUCAAAACAAAAUAUCCCAAGACUGAAGCUUUCCUAUAAAGGUUUCAGCUGGAGUUGCCCUGGCAUUGCCUCCCAGAGGGGCAGGAUUGCUCCCCAGGAAGUUCUCCAGCCAGAAGUCCCUCUGGAUCCGGAUUAUUUUUUAAAAAAACCUGGCCAGAGCCGCAGCCUCCUUCAUGUGCCGCUGCCUCACUCGCUGCUGCCGUGCUGGCUCAGGAAUGUGAUCAAAGCCCGGCUAAGCAGGAAUUGUUCCGGGCCUGCUCUGUUUAAUCGCUGCCGCCGCGAGCAAAGCUGCCCCUGCUCCUUGAGGGGAGCGCUAGCUGCAGCCCGGCAGGAAAAGAGCCCAGGAAAAGCCGUGCACUUUGCAGGAGAAGCGCUGGGAGCAGAGGGGAGAGCGGGAAAAGGGAGCGAGAGCAGCUGGGCGGGCGGGGCGGCAUCAGCACUGAUCCCUCCGCGGGCAGGAGCGCAUCACAAAUAGUCCCUCCGGCAGAUCACUCUGCGGGCGGGCGCCAUCACCGCUAAUACAAGUAUUUAUAAAUUCAAAAGAACUCAUUAACACAGAAGAAAGCAAGUAUGCUUCAUGCUGGGUGGGAAACAUAGGGUCUAAGGGAUAAGAAUUUUAAAGUUUUUUUUUUUUUUUUUUUUUUUUUUUUAUGAGAGAACUACAUACCCCAUGGCACCCACAGAGUUCAGGACGGGUAGAGAGGAUGAAACAAACUUUAAAGAGAACCUUAACUGAAUUAGUAAUUGAAACUCAAAUGUCAUGGGGUAUGUAGUUCUCUCAUAAAAUUAAAAAAAAAUUAAUAUAA